UCCGGCAGCUAGCUCUCUGCACCUCUCACAUGAUCGCCCAUUGAAGUUAAGCAGGGCUGCGCACGGUCAGUACCUGGAUGGGAGACCACUUGGGAAAGCUAGGUUGCUGCUGGAA
rfam:Danio rerio chromosome 10, GRCz11 reference primary assembly.